GUCACGUUAUAACAAAAACAUUUUCCUAUACAUUGAUUAUGUAAAUAUUUUCUUAAUUUUUAUUAUAGAUUUGAAUAUGAUUUAAUACAAGUUUUCACAUUAAGGUUUGAUCUCUUUGACGACAUAAAAAUUUCCACGUUCACCUUAGACAUGUCUAUAGUCAUAUUAGCUGUAUUGCAAAUUAGUUUGUAAUUUACGAAGACUAGAUAUUUUAUCUUUAAGUGCCAAGCGGAAAAUUGUCCGUUAAAGAGUGUACAAGGAUAUUAAAUGAUGACUACAAGAUAAUGUGUCCAGGAAAAAAAACAAAUCAUGAAUUACACAUUGUCUUAACAUCCUGACUGUCUGCUUUAUCCGGUAAAUUUUCAUUCUCUGUCCUUUCAUAUACUGAAUUUAAUGGAAAUUUGCCAUGAUGUGGAUUUAAUUCACUUCCUAGUGUGGCGUCAUUAUCUGGUAUGGAGGCUGCAUUGUCCCCACACUCCUCGUCUGAACUUGAACAUAACCGACUGUCUGACACAAUACUUUCCUCGUCAUCUACGGAGAUUGUCAUAUCCUCUCCCAUCUCCUCAUUUGAGGGGUUUGUAUCAUUAACUACUGUUUCACAUUUUUGUGUUUUUGUCUCUGUUUUGGUUGUCUUUUGUUUUGCAGCUUCCUCCUCACGCUUUUGUUUUCGCCACUUUGCUCUUCUGUUUUUAAACCAUACCUGCAAAGAUCAAACAAAACUGUACAUGGCAAUUACUGCAUGUGAAACAUUAUCUUCAUAAUUCUUAAAACGUGUCGUAUCUAAUUCAAACACAAUUUCCGCAAAUUGAUUGCUUUCUGCAUAAUUUAUCGAGCCUCGUCAGUUAUAUAUUAUAUUUUUAUUAACACCUUUUAUCUAAUAGCAUUAUCGAAAUACCAUGAAAUGUUUUUAUGGCUUUUUCAUAUUUUUAUGUAAAACAAAGCUGCUUUCCUGUAUUCGUC
rnacentral:lncRNA from 1 species